GAGGAAAGUCCGGGCACUAUAGGGCGGAGUGCCAGGUAACACCUGGGCGGCGUGAGCCGACGGCAAGUGCAGCAGAGAGAAGACCGCCUGACUCGUCAGGUAAGGGUGAAAGGGUGCGGUAAGAGCGCACCGCGCGAGUGGUAACACUUCGUGGCAAGGUAAACCCCACUCAGUGCAAAACCAAAUAGGGGAGAGAUGGUGCGGCCCGCACUUCUCCCGGGUAGGUUGCUUGAGGUAUGUGGUGACACAUAUCCCAGAUGAAUGACUAUCCAAGACAGAACCCGGCUUAC
rnacentral:RNase_P_RNA from 1 species